AGUGAACGCUGGCGGUAGGCCUAACACGUGCAAGUCGAACGGCAGCACAGUAAGAGCUUGCUCUUACGGGUGGCGAGUGGCGGACGGGUGAGGAAUACAUCGGAAUCUACUUUUUCGUGGGGGAUAACGUAGGGAAACUUACGCUAAUACCGUAUACGACCUACGGGUGAAAGCAGGGGAUCUUCGGACCUUGCGCGAUUGAAUGAGCCGAUGUCGGAUUAGCUAGUUGGCGGGGUAAAGGCCCACCAAGGCGACGAUCCGUAGCUGGUCUGAGAGGAUGAUCAGCCACACUGGAACUGAGACACGGUCCAGACUCCUACGGGAGGCAGCAGUGGGGAAUAUUGGACAAUGGGCGCAAGCCUGAUCCAGCCAUACCGCGUGGGUGAAGAAGGCCUUCGGGUUGUAAAGCCCUUUUGUUGGGAAAGAAAAGCAGCAGGUUAAUACCCCGCUGUUCUGACGGUACCCAAAGAAUAAGCACCGGCUAACUUCGUG
rnacentral:rRNA from 1 species